GGGGCUGAUUCUGGAUUCGACGGGAUUUGCGAAACCCAAGGUGCAUGCCGAGGGGCGGUUGGCCUCGUAAAAAGCCGCAAAAAAUAGUCGCAAACGACGAAAACUACGCUUUAGCAGCUUAAUAACCUGCUUAGAGCCCUUUCUCCCUAGCCUCCGCUCUUAGGACGGGGUUCAAGAGAGGUCAAACCCAAAAGAGAUCGCGUGGAAGCCCUGCCUGGGGUUGAAGCGUUAAAACUUAAUCAGGCUAGUUUGUUAGUGGCGUGUCCGUCCGCAGCUGGCAAGCGAAUGUAAAGACUGACUAAGCAUGUAGUACCGAGGAUGUAGGAAUUUCGGACGCGGGUUCAACUCCCGCCAGCUCCACCA
rnacentral:tmRNA from 1 species